rfam:Lupinus angustifolius cultivar Tanjil chromosome LG15, whole genome shotgun sequence.
GAUUGCGAUCAUACCAGCACUAAUGCACCGGAUCCCAUCAGAACUCCGCAGUCAAGCGUGCUUGGGCGAGAGUAGUACUAGGAUGGGUCCUUCUACGAAGUCCUCGUGUUGCACCUC